GUCAGAAAAGUUUUCCUGGCUCUGAAACGACUUUUACCAUCAUUGUGGUUUUCCUGGACAUAAACCUGUCAGAGCAUCAAGGAGGAUCCACAGGAUUACAGGUGAAUGAUGUAGAGAUCUGUUACAUUCAUUUUAAAUCAUAUUCUGUUAAUGACAUUGUGCUGCAGCCUCAGACUGGGAUUAGUCAUUUUAAUUUCUUUUAGGAUUUCCCAGUGUGAUUGGCUGCAUAGAUGCACACACAUCCCCAUCACAGCUCCCUCACAUCAUGAACAGGAAGUCCAUUCACAGCAUAAAUGUGCAGGUAGGCUACAGGUAGACUGACUACUGUUUCUAAAUGUUAAAGACUGCAUCAUAGUUCAACAUCUGUCAUUCUCUGCACUGUCCAGAUCAUAUGUGAUGCUGCAUACAUCAUUUCUAAUGUGGAGGCCAAGUGGUCUGGGUCUGUUCAUGACUCCAGGAUUUAUGGAGAGUCUAACCUGAGCAACAGACUGCAGCGUGGAGAGUUUGAUGGCCUUCUGCUGGGUGACAGGGGUUACCAUGACAACCCAGGCUGAUGACCUCAUACCCUGACCCUGAACCAGGCGCCCAACAGAACUUCAACCGGACUCACUGCAGGACCAGAGCCCGGGUGGAGAUGACCAUAGGCCUGCUGAAAGCCCGUUUCCAGAGCCUACAUCACCUCAGGGUGACCCCUGAGAGGGCCUGUGAUAUUACUGUGGCAUGUGUUGUUCUUCAUAAUAUUACCACUAUUAGAGGAGAGCAACACCCUGCCCUACAAACUGAAGACCCAGAUGAUGAGCCCAUCCACCUGCAGCUAUCCAGGACAGCAGAGCAGUCAGAGACACCGUAUGCAAUAAUCACUUUAGAGUUUAAGUCCCCAUCAUCACCACCACAGCAAAUAAAGACAUGAUACACA